rnacentral:rRNA from 1 species
GACGAACGCUGGCGGCGUGCUUAACACAUGCAAGUGGAGCGACGAACCAGGCUUCGGCCUGGGGCAGAGCCGCGAACGGGUGAGUAACACGUGGGUAACGUGCCCCAAUGACUGGGACAACCCGAGGAAACUCGGGCUAAUACCGGAUAUGCCCCCUCACGAGAGUGAGGUGUGUAAAGGAAGCUUCGGCCUCCGCAUUGGGAUCGGCCCGCGGCGCAUUAGCUUGGUUGGUGGGGUAACGGCCACCAAGGCAACGAUGCGUAGCUGGUCUGAGAGGACGAUCAGCCACACUGGGACUGAGACACGGCCCAGACUCCUACGGGAGGCAGCAGUGGGGAAUCUUGCGCAAUGCGCGAAAGCGUGACGCAGCAACGCCGCGUGGGGAAGACGGCCU